UCUCUGCUUCAACCAGAAGCAGUUUCUCAUCCUCUUCCCGGAGGCUGUUCACCUGCAGCGCUAUCUACAACCAUCAGGUCCAUAUCAAGGAGGAGGGCAAGCCCGAGACCCUCAAUUAACGUGUCUUCCUCGUCAAUAGUUCUGGCAAAAGUUUUAUCGAUUUUCCCCGUUUUGCUUAGAAUUUUUUUUUUGGAUGAUGUUAAUAAUGCUGAGGAGAAAAUUUUGACCUUUCGGACUUAACAAUGAUGGGGUUGGGGAAGAAGGUAAAGUUGGAGGCUUGUUCUUGGGGUCUCCCGUUGGCAUGACAUACUGCUGCAUUCGCGUGACGUUGUCUUCAACUUUGUGGUUGAAAUAACGAAGGAGUCAAGUGCGAAGAUGGAGGUUGCCACUGAUGAGCCGUUCACCCGGAUCAAGCAGGACACGAAGAAGGUGAAGCUCCGUUAUUAUCCGCCAAUCCGUUAUUAUCCGUUAUUGUGGUCGGGAGACGGUGUCAAUGGGCCACUAUUCUGAUCAUGGUCGUGGGAGGUGCGUUGAUUGCUGGGUCUCUGGGGAUCAAGACUUACUACGAAGUGAGGAGAUUGAGGAAGAUUGAAUUGAUCAAGAAGAAGGAAACAUAGCAGUAAUCACUAUACAUAAAUAUAUGCCAAGUCGUUACAUGUUUUAUGCGAUGCAAUCGGGCUAUCCGUAAGCCCCGUCAAGAAGAAGUCUCUUGUCGGUGAAUUAGUCGAAGGGAAUAAAGAUUGCUUGGACAAAGGAAAUUAAACAAUCUUCACAGAAAUCCACCAUCUAAUCUCUGCUGCUUCCACUGCCAUGAACGCUGACCUUGUUGGUUUUUCCCGAUUUCUUGGUUCGACAGCUUGCUUUGAAUUGAAUGCCUUCCUAAUUGCAAAAUGCUACCCAUAUGAAUCCUGCAAAUUAUUACUGAA